AGGAAUCUCAACUACAGCAUCCAUGACAAAUGGCAGUGUAUCUGAAGAAGUGUGCAUGCACACGAAAGCUCAUACCAAGAGCUAACUUAGUUGGUCUUUAAGGUGCUACUGGAAGGAUUUUUUUUAUUUUGACUAUGGCAGACCAACACAGCUACCUAUCUGUAAAUGGCCAUUAGACGUUGAUCCAUGGUGUGCAUUUCAGGUACCAUUCCCCACACCCCGUUCCUGUGGGGGAUCACAAUCCCAUUCGAAAGAGAGACAAGCUCAUCUUCGUCUCAGUAUAGGAACUGUCGCUGGAUGAGAAGGGAGAUUGUAAGCAAAAGAAUUUGGGUGCAUCAGUGAAGGCAGCUGCAUUGCUGAUGAAGGAGCAUGCAUGCUAGCCUGAGUUAUCUGGGCAGGGGUGGGGUUGGGGAGAGUCGUGUUUGUUCCCUGUUUCAUAACAUCAAUCUCCAUCUCCACCCACACUGUCAUCGGCCUAAGUGUUCCGUCGGCUGCCUUUGUUAAUACUUCAAUAGGCAUGCUGCAUUUCAUAAUGGGUGUCAUUGCAGCUGUAGUCAUUGUAGAACAACUGGUGUGAAUCUGGAAAAAAUAACAUGGAAGUGUUUAAGAUGGUGUACUCUAAUGUCUACUCAGAUUCUGUUUUAAUUACAAAUUUUGCAUCAAUAAAUACUAUGAGCAAUCUUUUCUGAAAGUGGUGUCCAGUUACAUCACAGUAAAUAGUCUAAUAUAACAAGCAGAUAGAUUUUUAGCAGGCGAUAUACAGACACACAAAAAAACAAAAAAACCCUUAUCCUCCCAACUUUUUCUCCCUUUUUUUGGCAGAAUGAGGUCUUCGUUCCUCACACACCUGCAUGGCAACAGCAUGAGGCGAGUCAAAACUACAAAUUUGAGGAGGGGGGUAUACAAGUUCAAAGAGUGACCUUAGGUGGUCCUUGGUUACUUUGUUAAAGGCUUAGUCAGAUAAAAAAACUCUCCUGUACAGUCAUACCUCGGAAGUCGAACAGAAUCCAUUCCGGAAGUCCAUUUGACUUCAGAAACAUUCAGAAACCAAAGCGCGGCUUCUGAUGGAAUGCAGGAAGCUAUUGCAGCCAAUCGGAAGCCACAGAAGCCCCAUUGGAUGUUCGGCUUCCAAAAAUAGUUCGCAAACUGGGACAGUCACUUCCGGGUUUGCAGCGUUCGGGAACCAAAGCGUUUGAGAACUAUGCUGUUCGAAAACCAAGGUACAACUGUAUUACCCUUAGUAUCUGAAUAGAGUGAAUCCUCAUUCCUCAUAAUGCACUUUGUGUCCCUGGAUUAGACAAUCCACUCAGGAUAAAA
rnacentral:lncRNA from 1 species